UCCUUGGUGGUCCAGUGGCUAAGACUCUAUUCUCCAAAUGCAGGGGGCCUGGGUUUGAUCCCUGGUCAAGGAA
rnacentral:tRNA from 1 species